rnacentral:rRNA from 1 species
CCCUCGGGUUGUAAAGCACUUUCAGCGAGGAAGAACGCCUAGUGGUUAAUACCCAUUAGGAAAGACAUCACUCGCAGAAGAAGCACCGGCUAACUCCGUGCCAGCAGCCGCGGUAAUACGGAGGGUGCAAGCGUUAAUCGGAAUUACUGGGCGUAAAGCGCGCGUAGGUGGCUUGAUAAGCCGGUUGUGAAAGCCCCGGGCUCAACCUGGGAACGGCAUCCGGAACUGUCAAGCUAGAGUGCAGGAGAGGAAGGUAGAAUUCCCGGUGUAGCGGUGAAAUGCGUAGAGAUCGGGAGGAAUACCAGUGGCGAAGGCGGCCUUCUGGACUGACACUGACACUGAGGUGCGAAAGCGUGGGUAGCAAACAGGAUUAGAUACCCUGGUAGUCCACGCCGUAAACGAUGUCGACCAGCCGUUGGGUGCCUAGCGCACUUUGUGGCGAAGUUAACGCGAUAAGUCGACCGCCUGGGGAGUACGGCCGCAAGGUUAAAACUCAAAUGAAUUGACGGGGGCCCGCACAAGCGGUGGAGCAUGUGGUUUAAUUCGAUGCAACGCGAAGAACCUUACCUACUCUUGACAUCCUGCGAACUUGUGAGAGAUCACUUGGUGCCUUCGGGAACGCAGAGACAGGUGCUGCAUGGCUGUCGUCAGCUCGUGUUGUGAAAUGUUGGGUUAAGUCCCGUAACGAGCGCAACCCUUGUCCUUAUUUGCCAGCGGGUAAUGCCGGGAACUCUAAGGAGACUGCCGGUGACAAACCGGAGGAAGGUGGGGACGACGUCAAGUCAUCAUGGCCCUUACGAGUAGGGCUACACACGUGCUACAAUGGCCGGUACAAAGGGUUGCGAGCUCGCGAGAGUCAGCUAAUCCCGAAAAGCCGGUCUCAGUCCGGAUCGGAGUCUGCAACUCGACUCCGUGAAGUCGGAAUCGCUAGUAAUCGUGAAUCAGAAUGUCACGGUGAAUACGUUCCCGGGCCUUGUACACACCGCCCGUCACACCAUGGGAGUGGACUGCACCAGAAGUGGUUAGCUUAACCUUCGGGAAAGCGAUCACCACGGUGUGGUUCAUGACUG